rnacentral:rRNA from 1 species
GGGGGCAAGCGUUAUCCGGAUUUACUGGGUGUAAAGGGAGCGUAGACGGUUACGCAAGUCUGAAGUGAAAGGCGGGGGCCCAACCCCCGGACUGCUUUGGAAACUGUGAAACUGGAGUGCAGGAGAGGUAAGUGGAAUUCCUAGUGUAGCGGUGAAAUGCGUAGAUAUUAGGAGGAACACCAGUGGCGAAGGCGGCUUACUGGACUGUAACUGACGUUGAAGCACGAAAGCGUGGGUAUCGAAC